GGAAUUUCCACUUUACGUUUUUGCUAUGUUUGUUCCAAUAUGAAAUCAUCAGAAAACUUGUAGACCAAAAUAAGUUCAUUAAACUGAAAUAUAGCUAGGUAAAAAUCAAAGUUUCAUGCAAUUAAUUGUGCUGUUUGACUAUUAGUUGCUGUUUAGUUUGAGCCUCAAAGACUAGGUAAAGGGGUUGUUGCUAAAUCAGUAUAUUUUUUUUUUGCCAGAUAUCAUGCAAAAAGUCCAGCCUAAAUGGAUGUGUAAUCAACUACAAUCGCUGAUGUAUUCUAACCGACCAUAUAAUAAAUGUAAUGUUCAGCUGCUUAUCUUUUAAGGUAAACAAUUAAGUUCAAAGUUACAAAGCAUUAGCAUAUUAACAAACAUUUUGUUGCUUUUGUACUCCAUUAAAUGCCUGCUGAUUGGACAUUCCCAUGUGAGAGAGGCUUGUAUCUG
rnacentral:lncRNA from 1 species